rnacentral:misc_RNA from 1 species
GAACUGCGAUAAGUAAUGUGAAUUGCAGAAUUCAGUGAAUCAUCGAGUCUUUGAACGCACAUUGCGCCCCCUGGCAUUCCGGGGGGCAUGCCUGUCCGAGCGUCAUUGCUGCCCUUCAAGCCCGGCUUGUGUGUUGGGUCGUCGUCCCCUCCGGGGGACGGGCCCGAAAGGCAGCGGCGGCACCGCGUCCGGUCCUCGAGCGUAUGGGGCUUUGUCACCCGCUCGAUACGGACCGGCCGGGCGCCAGCCGGCGUCUCCAACCUUUUUUUCUCAGGUUGACCUCGGAUCAGGUAGGGAUACCCGCUGAACUUAAGC